AAAGUGACAUUUCAGCCCUCAAGCUUGAAACGCCUUGAAUGCUGCAAAGUUUUCGAACCAGAGAUUUACACAGGGAACAAGACCAACAGUGGGACUGUACCUUCUAAGUGAAAAUUCCAACAGAACUUGGCGAGAUUGGGGCGUGUUUCUGGGCAGUUUACAGCCAGAACUCUUCCUCGGAAGCCCUAAACUGUACACGUACCGCUCCAGUUACAUAUUACUCUUCCGUUCAAACCAGAAAAUCACCGUCCUUAAAAGAUGUUCAGCAGCCACUGGUCUCCCCAAAGUUUGGAAUCUUACAACCGGAAUCAGAGACUCUUUAGGAUUAUUUCACACAACUGCAUCAUGCUAUGCUAAGGGACUGUCCAAAGUCCCCUUCGAACUAGGUCCACCAUUCCCAGGAGGAAGGAUUUCUAAACAGCUUUUUUGUCUCUGGAAAUUCACCCAGGCUUUACUUCCCAUAGGAGGCCCUACCAGGAGAGUGCUGGGGGCUCACGUCCUCUCAUGCACUUCUGCAGAGGGGACAUCUGCACUUGCGCAACAGUUUCAACAGAGUAGCCCCAAGAAGAAAGCCAUGUGGAGAAAUUCUGACAAAUGUGCAGGCUGAUGUGAGCUGCAGUGACUUCUGCACACCUCAAAUCACCACACAAGAGCAACUCCUCAUCUGUCUACAGAAGGAAAGUAAAGAAUUGCAAGUAUCACCAGGAGCAGAACUCCUCCACUUUCAUAAAUCCUCAGUGGGAUCUUGUGAACAGAUGCACAUAUUAUGAGGAAGAGGAGAAGGGGGGAAGAAGAAGAAAUUCAGCCAAGAUGGGAAGCAGGAAAAUGCCAUUUUAGAGAAG